GAUGAACGCUGGCGGCGUGCUUAACACAUGCAAGUCGAACGAGAAAUGGAGACGGAAACCUUCGGGCGGAAGGCUUCAUUUCGAGUGGCGGACGGGUGAGUAACGCGUGGGUAACCUGCCUCAUACAGGGGGAUAACAGUUGGAAACGACUGUUAAUACCGCAUAAGACCACAGCACCGCAUGGUGCGGGGGUAAAAACUCCGGUGGUAUGAGAUGGACCCGCGUUCGAUUAGCCAGUUGGCGGGGUAACGGCCCACCAAAGCGACGAUCGAUAGCCGAUCUGAGAGGAUGACCGGCCACUUUGGGACUGAGACACGGCCCAAACUCCUACGGGAGGCAGCAGUGGGGAAUAUUGCACAAUGGGGGAAACCCUGAUGCAGCGACGCCGCGUGAGUGAAGAAGUACUUCGGUAUGUAAAGCUCUAUCAGCAGGGAAGAAAAUGACGGUACCUGAGUAAGAAGCCCCGGCUAACUACGUG
rnacentral:rRNA from 1 species